UACGGGGGGGGCAAGCGUUGUUCGGAAUUACUGGGCGUAAAGGGCUCGUAGGCGGCCAACUAAGUCAGACGUGAAAUCCCUCGGCUUAACCGGGGAACUGCGUCUGAUACUGGGUGGCUUGAAUCCGGGAGAGGGAUGCGGAAUUCCAGGUGUAGCGGUGAAAUGCGUAGAUAUCUGGAGGAACACCGGUGGCGAAGGCGGCGUCCUGGACCAACACUGACACUGAGGAGCGAAAGCCAGGGGAGCAAACGGG
rnacentral:rRNA from 1 species